GACGAACGCUGGCGGCGUGCUUAACACAUGCAAGUCGAACGGAAAGGCCCUGCUUUUGUGGGGUGCUCGAGUGGCGAACGGGUGAGUAACACGUGAGUAACCUGCCCUUGACUUUGGGAUAACUUCAGGAAACUGGGGCUAAUACCGGAUAGGAGCUCCUGCUGCAUGGUGGGGGUUGGAAAGUUUCGGCGGUUGGGGAUGGACUCGCGGCUUAUUAGCUUGUUGGUGGGGUAGUGGCUUACCAAGGCUUUGACGGGUAGCCGGCCUGAGAGGGUGACCGGCCACAUUGGGACUGAGAUACGGCCCAGACUCCUACGGGAGGCAGCGGUGGGGAAUAUUGCACAAUGGGCGGAAGCCUGAUGCAGCAACGCCGCGUGCGGGAUGACGGCCUUCGGGUUGUAAACCGCUUUCGCCUGUGACGAAGCGUGAGUGACGGUAAUGGGUAAAGAAGCACCGGCUAACUACGUG
rnacentral:rRNA from 1 species